rnacentral:rRNA from 1 species
AUUGAACGCUGGCGGCAGGCCUAACACAUGCAAGUCGAACGAGUGGCGGACGGGUGAGUAAUGUCUGGGAAACUGCCCGAUGGAGGGGGAUAACUACUGGAAACGGUAGCUAAUACCGCAUACCAUCGGAUGUGCCACGAUGGGGUUAGCUAGUAGGGGGGGUAACGGCUAACCUAGGCGGCGAUCCCUAGCUGGUCUGAGAGGAUGACCAGCCACCCUGGAACGUAGACACGGUCCAGACUCCUACGGGAGGCAGCAGUGGGGAAUAUUGCACAAUGGGCGCAAGCCUGAGGCAGCCAUGCCGCGUGUAUGAAGAAGGCCUUCGGGUUGUAAAGUACUUUCAGCGAGGAGGCGUUACUCGCAGAAGAAGCACCGGCUAACUCCGUGCCAGCAGCCGCGGUAAUUC